GGAAUCUUCCACAAUGGGCGAAAGCCUGAUGGAGCAACGCCGCGUGUGUGAUGAAGGGUUUCGGCUCGUAAAACACUGUUGUAAGAGAAGAAUGACAUUGAGAGUAACUGUUCAAUGUGUGACGGUAUCUAACCAGAAAGUCACGGCUAACUACGUGCCAG
rnacentral:rRNA from 1 species